UGGCUCAGGAUGAACGCUAGCGGCAGGCCUAACACAUGCAAGUCGAGGGGCAGCACGUCUUCGGAUGGUGGCGACCGGCGCACGGGUGCGUAACGCGUAUGCAACCUACCUCUUACAGUGGGAUAGCCCAGAGAAAUUUGGAUUAAUACCGCAUAGUAUACUUGAACAGCAUUGUUUAAGUAUUAAACAUUUAUGGGUAAGAGAUGGGCAUGCGUUCUAUUAGUUAGUUGGAGUGGUAACGGCACCCCAAGACAGCGAUAGAUAGGGGCCCUGAGAGGGGGAUCCCCCACACUGGUACUGAGACACGGACCAGACUCCUACGGGAGGCAGCAGUGAGGAAUAUUGGACAAUGGGCG
rnacentral:rRNA from 1 species